GGUGGGCACAUGCAGUCUGACGGAGCCUCUCUCACCGUCCGCAGCUUCGCGAGUCCUUCGCCCAGCUUCUCGCGCAGGAGCUGCUCCACGCGGGGCUGCAGCGCGUCCAGCAGCGGCCCGGGGCCGGCGGCGCCGCGCUCCUCCAGGGCGGCCAGGCGGCCCUGCAGCUCGGCGGUCUUAGCGCCCAGCAGCAGACACACGGCCACGGCGGUGAGCGAGAGGAGCAGGCACAGCGCGGAGGUGGCGGUGCCCGCCGAGCCGCUGCCGCCCGCGCUCAUCGCGCCGCGAUCGGACCCGCUCG
rnacentral:lncRNA from 1 species